GUUAUUAUCCCCUUACAAUCAAAUAGCCCUCGAAUUUUUCAUUUAUCUCAUAGACAAAAUCCAAGAUGGAAAUAACAAAAGUAAGAGCCGUGGAAGAGCACCCUAAAGCCUAAGGAUUUCAAGUAAAGUAGAAGAAGUGGCAAACUGCGACAAUAGGGCAAUGUGACUGCAAAAUACCAAAUAAGUUGAAGGGAACCAGAAUGACAAAAAC
rnacentral:misc_RNA from 1 species